rnacentral:siRNA from 1 species
UGAAGGUGAGAUAUCGCAGCUGCC